rnacentral:rRNA from 1 species
GACGGAGGAUGCAAGUGGUAUCCGGAAUUAUGGGGCGUAAAGGGUGCUUCGUGGGUCGGUGGAGUCCCAUGUCAAAGCAUGGUGCUUAAAGCCAUAAAGGCGUGGGAAACUGUCAGACUAGAGUACAGCAGGGGCAGGUGGAAUUCCCGGUGUAGCGGUGAAAUGCGUAGAUAACGGGAAUAACACCAGUGGCGCAAGCGUUAUGCUGGGCUGUACCUGACACUGGGGCACGUAAGCUAGGGGAGCGAAAGGG